UACCAGCUCUCCGAGUGGUGGGGAUGCUUAUUGGGCCUAAAGCAUUCGUAGCCGGCUGGGCAAGUCCUCCGUUAAAUCCAGCGAUUCAAUCGUUGGGCUGCAGGGGAUACUGUCCGGCUAGGGGGCGGAAGAGGCCGACGGUAUUCUCGGGGUAGGGGUGAAAUCCUAUAAUCCCGGGAGGACCACCAGUGGCGAAGGCUGUCGGCUAGAACACGCCCGACGGUGAGGGAUGAAAGCUGGGGGAGCGAACCGGAUUAGAUACCCGGGUAGUCCCAGCUGUAAACUAUGCAGGCUAGGUGUUGGCGCGGCUACGUGCCGCUCCAGUGCCGCAGGGAAGCCAUUAAGCUCGCCGCCUGGGGAUACGGCCGCAAGGCUGAAACUUAAAGGAAUUGGCGGGGAGCACCACAAGGCGUGAAGCUUGCGGUUC
rnacentral:rRNA from 1 species